AGAACGAACGCUGGCGGCAUGCCUAACACAUGCAAGUCGAACGCUCUUGGGGCUUCGGUCUCAGGGGAGUGGCGCACGGGUGAGUAGCGCGUGGGAACCUGCCCUGUUGUGGGGGAUAACCGAGGGAAACUUCGGCUAAUACCGCAUAAGCCGGUUGUCUUGAAGGAGAUGGCCGGGAAAGAUUUAUCGCGACAGGAGGGGCCCGCGUCGGAUUAGCUAGUUGGUGGGGUAACGGCCCACCAAGGCGGUGAUCCGUAGCUGGUCUGAGAGGAUGAUCAGCCACACUGGGACUGAGACACGGCCCAGACUCCUACGGGAGGCAGCAGUGGGGAAUAUUGGACAAUGGGCGCAAGCCUGAUCCAGCAAUGCCGCGUGAGUGAUGAAGGCCUUAGGGUUGUAAAGCUCUUUCGCCCGCGACGAUGAUGACGGUAGCGGGAGAAGAAGCCCCGGACUAACUUCGUGCCAGCAGCCGC
rnacentral:rRNA from 1 species